GACGAACGCUGGCGGCGUGCUUAACACAUGCAAGUCGAACGGAAAGGCCCUGCUUUUGUGGGGUGCUCGAGUGGCGAACGGGUGAGUAACACGUGAGUAACCUGCCCUUGACUUUGGGAUAACUUCAGGAAACUGGGGCUAAUACCGGAUAGGAGCUCCUGCUGCAUGGUGGGGGUUGGAAAGUUUCGGCGGUUGGGGAUGGACUCGCGGCUUAUCAGCUUGUUGGUGGGGUAAUGGCUUACCAAGGCUUUGACGGGUAGCCGGCCUGAGAGGGUGACCGGCCACAUUGGGACUGAGAUACGGCCCAGACUCCUACGGGAGGCAGCAGUGGGGAAUAUUGCACAAUGGGCGGAAGCCUGAUGCAGCAACGCCGCGUGCGGGAUGACGGCCUUCGGGUUGUAAACCGCUUUCGCCUGUGACGAAGCAUGAGUGACGGUAAUGGGUAAAGAAGCACCGGCUAACUACGUG
rnacentral:rRNA from 1 species